UCUCUUAAAAAAAAAAAAAAAACCCUGCCAAUAUUGCGAUACAGAGAAAGGGAAAAAAGGGCUUACAAUACUCCCAAAAAACACUUGCGUUACUGAGAACGGAGAAGGAGAGAGAGAUCGAAAGAUCAAAAACUGAAACCCAAAACAUCAGACACCAAUCAAGAUGAAGAAGAGCCGUACAAUCUCUUCUAAUAUCCCCAAACUCUCUCUCUCUCUCUUCUCAUGAACCCUAAUCUUUUUCUUCAAGAAUAUUCAAUCCCUUCAAUCCAGGCUACAGAUCUAGAGUCUCUAAUUUAAUCAAAGCAAAGUAAGUUGCGGAGACAAGUAGAGAAUCUGUCAUGUAGCCAGAACCACUACAGAGAGCAAAGAGUAGGGAGGCAAUGAGACAUGAGAGAAUUAGAAGUGUUACCAACAAAGGAUGCAAUUUUAACAUGAUUGGUAGACCCAAUGCGGCUGGCUAAUCUUCUUUGCAGGAUAGCCUUUAUUGUCUACAACAAUCUGUCAUUAACACAGAAUGAACACCACAAUGGACAUUAAUGUUACACAAAUGAUACCAAGGAGACCACGUGAAGUACAUGAUGGAGAACUUUCCUUGCAUAAUGGAAAAUCAAUAUCUUAAAUAAAGGACUUGGAGUGGAACUUAGAGACAAAGGUAUCAAAGCUUAUAAACCUGCUGAAGAUGGAAAAUGAGAAGAUGAUAGCAUGCUUAUUCAAAUGCUUCGCAAACGAAACAAUGCUACUAAACAAAAUGCAUCAAAGAAGAAGAAAAAUUGAAGGAGGAAAAAUAGCAACUACAGAAUUCAAUUUAAUUUUCAGUUUUUGUUUUUCCUCCUACCUGGUGGGUGAAUUUUUAAUAAUAAAACAAUGAAUGCGAUUGCUAUUAAGUUGACAGGUUUUUAGUGGUAUCAUCUUAAUAUCUUUUGGUUAAUUUUUUGUUUAUAGUUUGUGAAAUUUCUAUUGCUAUGACAGCCUUGCAGCUAUUCUUUGAUGAUAACUUCAUAUUAUCCAACCAACUGAUGUGAAUGCUCUUAGGGUGUUUA